GAUGAAGAACGUAGCGAAAUGCGAUAAGUAAUGCGAAUUGCAGAAUCUCCGUGAGUCAUCGAGUCUUUGAACGCACAUUGCGCCCCCUGGUAUUCCGGGGGGCAUGCCUGUCCGAGCGUCAUUGCUGCCCUCAAGCACGGCUUGUGUGUUGGGCCUCCGUCCUCCUCCCGGGGGACGGGCCCGAAAGGCAGCGGCGGCACCGCGUCCGGUCCUCGAGCGUAUGGGGCUUCGUCACCCGCUCUUGUAGGCCCGGCCGGCGCUUGCCGACACAUCAAUCUUUUUUCCAGGUUGACCUCGGAUCAGGUAGGGAUACCCGCUGAACUUAAGCAUAUCAAUAAGCGGAGGA
rnacentral:misc_RNA from 1 species